rnacentral:sRNA from 1 species
ACCAAGGUAAAAAGGUCGGUCGCCACGUGAGCUAGAUCAUAUGUGGCGGACAGACCUUGGGACCUGUCCCAAUAUGAGCAUAAAAGUGGGAUAUUAAUCCCACGAUAUGCGAAUAGUGGGUAGGAUUGCGGGAGUGCAACGCACGUAGCAAUCCGUGGGUAU